UCAGCAUUUAGUGCAAGGACAAAUGCUUGCCUCUUGGUCCCUGUUCGAGUGCCACUUGCCGCGGACCAGCCGGAGAAAGAGGAUCUCACCGCCCAGGGUCAGAAGGGAAGGGGACAUUUCAUCUUGACAAUCUGCACAUCUGGGAGACUAUCAAGAAAUGCUUUGAGGUCGAUGCCAUUCAGCACAAUCCGAUUGUCAUAAAUGUGCCCAUUGGACUUAAAAUCGAUGACUGCCUUCUUCUUCAGCUGCAUGCAGUGUCUCUCAGCUGCCUGAAAAUCUCCUGCCUGAUACUCUCGAUGUGCCAACUCAGCUAACCCUUGGAAGGAAAGCAUACGUUUCAUUGGUUCUGUGCUGUCGGCCACGUUGCCCACAGAAGACGCCAUCUGGAGCUUCUGGAGAGAGUGAGAAAAGGGGGUAAUUGAGUCCCGCUGCUGCCACUACUGGCAAGAAUGUUUCUAGAGGUAGCAAAUACGAGGGCAGCAGCCGUACCACUGCUUUGGCAGGCGUAAGCGGCGGCAACAGUUACACGCACUGAAACUUAGGAACUCUGGUUGGCCAUCUACCUCUCACGCUCUUGAAAUCUUAAUUCUUAACCCUGCCCUCUUCCACCAUUUUUCUCCUAAUCAGGGAAUAAAAAUUACCUAUACACUUGCCUUAGAAGAAAUCAAAAGUCAGUAGUCCAAACACUUUUUAAAAUUUUGUUUUCUGUCCAGUUGGAAAGGAAAUACAUGAUUGACUUUACUUCAUCAUUCAUAUAGUCAAUGUGGAAAACAUUAGGGCCGUGAAUUUCAAUACAGUAAGAUCAGAAAAUUUUAAAUUGGCCUUCCCAAACCACUAAUAAGUAACCAAUGUUGUAUAUAAUGCUAAAAUCUUAGAGACUGAGUUUGAUAUUUUAAAAGUUCUGAAAGGAUUAGCUAAUUUCUCCUCAUCAUACUUCUCAUGCCUCAAACCUGAGUAUUACUUUUUUAAAAUUAAAUUUAUCUUUAUUUAUUUAUUUUUAUUUUGGCUGCGUUGGGUCUUCAAUGCUGCAUGCAGACUUUCUCUAGUUGUGGCGAGCGGGGGCUACUCUUUGUUGCGGUGCCUGGGCUUCUCAUCACAGCAGCUUCUAUUGCUGUUCCACAACUCUAUGGGUUCCUUUUUAGGUCCUAUGAAGAACCCUAGAAAUUAGUUCAUGGAAUUAUAAGUUUUUGCAAAAUUGUCAAAAGUGAGAUAUUUUAACUUCCAUCAGGUAAGACCAACGUCUCUUUCUUUGCCAAUUUUCCUUCUAUCAUACUCCGCUAUGUUGGAUCAUAUUGGAAUGGCCACAGGCUUUUUUGAAAUCUGGCUAAGGAGAUUUUCUUUUUUCUGUGGUACGCGGGCCUCUCACUGUUGUGGCCUCUCCCGUUGUGGAGCACAGGCUCUGGACGCACAGGCUCAGCGGCCAUGGCUCACGGGCCUAGCCGCUCCGCGGCAUGUGGGAUCUUCCCGGACCGGGACACGAACCCGUGUGUCCUGCGUCGGCAGGUGGACUCUCAACCACUGCGCCACCAGGGAAGCCCUAAGGAGAUGUUUUAAGUGAGGCUAUUAUGUGAUUUUCAGACACCGCCAUAUGUAAUUGACUAUAUACUAUCGCAUUACAGGAAUAACUUCCAGUACUCAUACUGACUACUCUACUGACUUAACCUAGCACAAGACACAGAAGCAUAAGGACAAACACCACCUUACAAUAUAGCCAUGUCUUGCACUUCACAGCUCUCAAAGCAUGUGCGUUUGAAGAAGAAAAAAAGAACUGAAAAGUACAAAACCAGAAGCUAAUCUGUGGAAAAUUAUUUCAAUCAUCAGGCAUGUGAAAGAUAAGUCAAAGAUUCAGUUCUCAUCAAUGCUUAGUCAAAACGGAAAUUUUCUUCUGUCAAGAAUAUACUCCAGGGGCUUCCCUGAUGGCGCAGUGGUUAAGAAGCCACCUGCCAAUGCAGGGGACAAGGGUUCGAGUCCUGGUCCGGGAAGAUCCCACAUGUCACGGAGCAACUAAGCCGGUGUGCCACAACUACGGAACCUGCGCUCUAGAGCCCGUGAGCCACGACUAUUGAGCCUGCGAGCCACAACUACUGAAGCCUCCGUGCCUAGCGCCCGUGCUCUGCAACAAGAGAAGCCACCGCAAUGAGAAGCCUGUGCACCGCAACGAAGGGUAGCCCC